GUGAGUUAUGAGCCUGACCUUGAAUGCCCUUGCUCAUAAGGAGUGUAGAUUUUAGUUUCAUUUUCAUUGGUCAAUACAGGCAAGCCUUUGAAGGGUUUCUGCAAGAGAAUGUAGAUAUUGGAGUUGGGCUGCACCAGUGCAAACUGGACUGGGAACUGGGAAGGGAACAAGUGGGAGGUACAGUCAGGACAUUAUUGUCAUAACUUGGGCAGCAGUUACAGAGGCAAGCAAGGUGGAGAGGGGGUGGAAAUGAAGGGAGCAAAACCAUGUGAAAGGUCACUGAGGAAGUUCCAGUGUGGAUGCCUGGAAGAUACAAGAGAACAACUCCCAGAGAUUUGGAAAUACGGAGGAGGAGAGGUUUAAAAGUGUGAGUUCAGAUUGGGACAUUUAGAGUUUGGGUGACUUGAGGAAUGUCCUACGAUGAGUCCAUUAGGCUUUUGGAGACGAGGGCCCUGAGAGAAGCUGGGGCUAGAGAUACACUUGGGAAUUGUCCACAUGGAGGUACUAACUUAAGCCAUGAGAGGAAGAGGAGGAGGAAAAGGAGAAAGAGACACAGAGAGAGAGAGAGAGAGAGAGCUCACCAAGAACAAAUUAUUGGGGAACACCUACCUUUAGGAGAGGAGAAAAAAUAGUAGGAGUAUUUGAAGAGUGAGAGAGUAACCAGAAGAUUGAAAUGUCAUGGAAACCAAAGACACAGUAUCAAGACAGAAGAAAUCAUCGAUAACACUGAAGGCAGCACACUACGGGGGAGAAAGAAGACUGGGAAUUGGUGGUUAGAUGUGACCACCUGGAGAUCUGCCAUCCCCCUGCCCACGUCCCAAAGAGCAGGUAGAUGCCCUUGCGCACCAGUCAGGAAUGCAAUGGGGAGUCAUGGAAAAUUUUCCAGCAGAAGAUUGACAAGAUCAGAGUUUGCUGGAAGCAGGCUCACAUGAGUGUAAGAUGGCUGGGAAGGGGAAAAAUCAGGUGGACACCAUUUAGUGGGAUAUUGCAGAAGUCCAGACUGAGGGAGGUCUAGAAGCUAAUUAAGGGCUGGUGGCUUCAAUGUUACAACAUGUAGAGCAGGACAAUGACAGGCCGAAGGUCAUGGGGCUCCCAGGGCUUCCUGGACCUCAGGUGGGUAUGGCCAUUGCUCUUUGCAUGUCACCAGCAACAAGUGUUUCCCAACUCGGUCUCUCUCAGCCUCCGUAGCUAAUAUUUGCCUCCUAUUGAUUCAGUAUCUAGCCUGUUACUUUUUAACUGGAGCCUGGGGUUCAAAGGCCUGACUGUUGUUUAAACACUCAUUACAUUGCGGAGGGCAUGUCCCCCUGACAAUCUCAACUCAUGAACAAGCAAGGAUCUUCUAAGUAAAUAUAGAAUGCAGAGAAGGCAAG
rnacentral:lncRNA from 1 species